GUGUGUGUGUCCACUGUCUGACUGCUGAGGGCUCUGUGUGUGGACGUGUGUGUGUGUGUGUCCACUGUCUGACUGCUGAGGGCUCUGUGUGUGGACGUGUGUGUGUGUGUCCACUGUCUGACUGCUGAGGGCUCUGUGUGUGAACGUGUGUGUGUGUCCACUGUCCGACUGCUCUGUGUGUGGAUGUGUGUGUGUGUCCACUGUCUGACUGCUGAGGGCUUUGUGAGGACGUGUGUGUGUGUCCACUGUCUGACUGCUGAGGGCUUUGUGAGGACGUGUGUGUGUGUGUCCACUGUCUGACUGCUGAGGGCUUUGUGAGGAUGUGUGUGCGUGUGUCCACUGUCCGACUGCUGAGGGCUCUGUGUGUGGACGUGUGUGUGUAUCCACUGUCCGACUGCUGAGGGCUCUGUGUGUGUGUCCACUGUCUGACUGCUGAGGGCUCUGUGUGUGUGUCCACUGUCUGACUGCUGAGGGCUCUGAGGACGUGCGUGUGUCCAGUGUGUGACUGGGGCUCUUUGAGGAUGUGUGUUGUGUCAAGCAGGCCUGGGGUGAGUCUGUGGAGUCCUGUGAGGCUCUCUGCAGAGUCUGUGUUUAUCUGCACCUUCUGUAAAGUGAUUGUUCCAUGUUUCAGAGGCUGGGCUUUCUUGGAAUGCAAGCAGUGCCGUCUUUCUGAGUCAAAGUGAUUCCUAAUGUAAAUAUUAGCAAGACUGUCUUACUGAUACUGUUUUUAUUGUUGUUUUCUGUCAGAGAACUGUGUUAAUUGAAAAUGUAACAGAUUGCCAAGAGUUUGACGCUGACUGUCAGGUGUGGAGCACUGGGCCCAGCCUGGAGCAGAGAGAGAGACAGGGCCUGUCAGGUGUGGAGCACUGGGCCCAGCCUGAAGCAGAGAGAGAGACAGGGCCUGUCAGGUGUGGAGCACUGGGUCAGUGUGCAGUAGAGAGAAAGACAGGGCCUGUCAGGUGUGGAGCACUGGGCCCUGUAAUAAGAGUCUAGGCAGGACAGACACAGCUCAGACAGAACAGUGAAGGGAUAUUUUCUCGGUGUGAUGUUCUUCUCGGUGUGUAACAGCGUGUUGGUGUAGAUUUCAAAGUGGCAGUUUGGUUUGUGAUGUCUUUCUCCCUCCAGGGUAGAGGGACUAACUGCUGUUGCCUUACUGUUGCUCAUCGGUGUCUGUCAGCAGUCUGGUGGCUAUCGCUGAUGUGCCGUUGACAGAUGCACACAGGAAGUGUGGAGCUGUGGGUGCUCCCAGGGUCACAGCUCUGUGGGGAGAUACUGGUCUCUGGAACAGCAGAGCGGGCGUCUCUUGUCUCUUCUUCCGGUUUUUAUUUUUCCUUUUUCGAAGUACCGUAGUAUUAGGCUGUAAAAAAACAUACUACUAAUCCAUGAUUAACCAGUAGAGUUGCCCAUAGUGAGGUGUGCGGUGGCGGGGAAGAGGACGGGAUUGUGGACAUGGUGGAGGGCAGUACAGGCCCCAGUCGGACUCCACCCCGAACGCACGAGCGAAGGUGGAGGUGACACCAGAGGGGGCCGCUCGGCCGCCACUCCAGUCCCAGCACCCUCCUGGGGGCGAGAUCUCUCUGGCACGGGCCAGGCCUCGGCACACGGCCCCCGGGCCCCCAUCGGCCCUCCCGCUCUCCAGUCCCCUGCCGCUUUAGGGCUGAAAAUCUUUUGCAAAGUUCCCACCCACCCAGGCCGGGGGGGCGUGGGGUCUGUGUGCCUGGAGUGGGGGGCCCAAGCCCGCUGUCGCAGUGCACAGCCACCAGGGGGCGGGCGUGCACAGCCGGCCCCUGCCUGGCUGUGGCAUCCCCCCACGGCUCUGGAGCCUUCCGGGAGAGCUCUCCCCUUUCCCGUCAUUCCAAGGGCCGUGCACGUUGUAUCCCGGCCAGAGUCGGUGUGGGACGAGGAGUUUUUCCGGCUUGUUGUUUCGGACCGAGCCGCGGGGCCGUCUGGGGUCCCCAGGGAGGGGCGGGGGCGUGCUGGGAGCCGAGGGAGACGAGAGGAGCUCUGUUCGCCCCCCUUCGGUCCGGGAGCUCCUCUUCCUUGCCUCCAGCCCCCGGCCGGCGGGAGGGGUUCGCUCAGCCAGAAGCGGGGUGUCUUGAGGGAAGGAGAGCGGGCCUAUCCGCUCUCCCCCAGGGGCCGAGCCCCUGCCCCUCCCAGCAGUGCAGCAGGGGCCAGCAGGUCCUUUCACUCUAUAUAUACUGUAUAUUAUACAUAGAAGCACUAAUGAAGUUUGAUUGUUAGUUGUGCACUCACAGCAUGAGGUAUUAAUCCAGAAGCGCUUUCCAGACCAACGCAGUAGCCUCUACUGAUGUCAAAGCCCCCCCGCUGUGAAUCCUGUAACGCCAGUGUUUAUUCUGUGUUCAAAGUGCCAAUAACUUUGUGAAUUCCUAACUGUGACCCAAUAAUAAAGAUAAUUGCACAUUAACUACUGUAAAAAAAAAAUCUGAAUAUCUUAAUAAAAAGUUUGUAACAAAAAAAAAAAAGGGGGGUGUCCUGCUCUUUCUACCGCCGCUGCAGGGGCAGAGGGGCGUGGGAGAGGAGCGUGCCCGUUUCGCCCACUGCGGUGGAAAGGGCUGCUGGGGAAAUGGAGCUGGAUCUUUCUCUGAAGCCCCUGGCUUGCCCAGGCCCGUCGGGAUCGGUCCAGCGCUUGAAGAGAAACGAGCCUGGACUCCUCCAUGCGUCACACCACCGCGCGUGAAGUCACCCGUCCAAGCCCUGUCCCCAGGGGCCAGACGCCGUCGAGAAAGAGCUUGGACGCGCACGCGCAGACCCCUGCGCCACGGUCAGGGCCCGCGGUUCAUGGUAAAGGUGCAGUACAUUUGGCACGUGUCAUGAGAGGGGAUGUUUAGAAUGCUGGAGUGAAGUGUGACCCCCCUGCAGAAAGCUGUACCCCCCAAAAGUACUCAACAGCCUCCCACACCCCCCUUAUGCAAACACACGGCACUUCAAAAACAACUGUACAGCUGUAUUGACAAGAUCAAGGUGUAUUAUAAAACAGUCCUGUAAUAAAAGAUAUUUUACAAAUAUAAAACCGUAAAUACAUUUCUGGAGACCAGAAAUCUUCUCUGCCUAAGGCAAAGCAGAGUGCAGUACCAUCAGCACAGCCCAGGGCCCUCUGCAGAGCUGUGUCCCCUCAACACAGCCCAGGGCCCUCUGCAGAGCUGUGUCCACUCAACACAGCCCAGGGCCCUCUGCAGAGCUGUGUCCUGUUAGCAGAACCCAGGCCCAUUAAUCAGAAAAGCCCGCUAAACACCUGUCAGACAGCAGCACACAGCAGCCAUCUGCCCUCUUUUAAAAAGCGGGCCCGUCUGGACCCGCCCUACAUCUGCAGCAACUGUGUACGUAGGGACUCAGGCACUCACCCCAGGAGAUCUCCCCCAGGCCUGUUAAUCACAGCCCUUAAUUAAACUCAACUGUCAGAUCGGGCCUUUUGCCCACACUCCCAAAGGGCCGGCCCAGAUCCACAGAGCCCUUCGCAGGCAGGAAAUGGGGUGGGGGAGUCCCGAGGAUCCGCGGUGUUGCUCCAUAAGGAUUCGGGGAGGGGGUACCCCAACAGCAUGGCGGCUGAGCUGGUUCCAGGACGAGGGAACCUGCCAGCUAACAGCUGUGGAACAGCAGCACUGCGGCUUCAGCUCUGUCAAGGCUCAAGUAAGUGGCUAUAAAACAUUCAAAUUUACAGGUAACCAGCAGCUAGUUCAGCAAAGCACUGGGGGUAAGAGGACUCACCGCCGGGACUGGGCUGCAUGAGAGGUCAGGGAGACUGUGAGGUCAGGGUGGGGUGACCUGCAGGUACCUCUCCCAUCUCGCCUUGGAGACACCGGGGCUUCCCAAGGGGAGGGCAACAGGCUCGCUGGCAGCGAAAGAGUUAAUCAGAAGGAUCACUCCAAGCAGCACCUCGUUAUUGAUCCCACAACCCUCGGGGGAUUCCGGGUCCAAUCCGGGUACCCACAGAGUGGUCCAGCUGCAACAGACCAUUCUACUUGUGCUUGGGGUCAGUGACCCUUGACCCUCAACCCUCAUCCAAUGGCAUCCUAAAAUCACUUCUGGUCUGGAAACAGAGAGAGAGAGCUGCCCUGGUCGAGGGCACACAGACACAGAAGCGCUGAAGCUAAAACCGUCUAAAAAAA